GCUGGCCACUUUCCCCAAAUUGGCCGGACGGCAGCCUCCAAAUCGCCGAUUCGUCGUCGCUAUUGCCUCCUGCCACCACCACCACUUCUCGGCAGCUCGGCCUCUUUGUGUCAAGUUAAUCACUGCUCGUCCCCAGCUCGUCCAAGCCACAGCUCGCCUCUGCUCUCCCAUGGACGACACGGCGCACGCGCGACGCCGGCGGUCGAUUUCCCUCGAUGGCUAGGUCGCCGCCUCUACCUCCACUUCGUCGGCUCCUCCAUAGGCUUUGUACGGAUUUGGUAGUCAGCCCGCCGGAGCCCAAGAAGAAGCACAGGGACAUCGGUCUCGCCUGCGUCGUCGUCAAGCGCAAGCUCGUGGUGGAUGCUCUGCGCCGUCCUUGGCGCCUUCGUCCUCAUUGAUGUCUCUAUCAGCAUCAGCGUACUCCAUGGCCCGCCAUCAGUCAAGUACAUCGACGCUGUCAACAAGGUGCUCCAAUUCUUCAACUACAGAAAUGAUGACGAAUCUGCAGAUUGAUCUCUGGUGAUGGAAACAAGUUGGGGAAGAGAGAUCCCUUCUCUUCCCAGCAGCGGCCAGCUGCCAGUAAUUGGUGAUCCCAGCCUAACACCGGCGGCCAGGGAAUUGGCGAUCACAGCAGGGGUUAGCGGCUAGCCAUUGAACUAGGUUUCCAGAUCUUUUUUUGCUGAUGUUUGUUGUGCCGCCAUCCAGUUUAUAUAGAUGCGAUGGAAAAAAUGGCGCCUAGAACUGGCUGCGGGAGGGAAGAAUUGGCGCCAAUAAGUUUGUUGAGGAAGGAGCGGAGAGGAAAAUGUCUGUUACGGAGAGUUUUAUGUAAUCUUGUUUUCUCAAAAACGAGUAUUAGUCGUUUUUGAUAAAACGUAGUUUCCUGGCUUUGUGGAAA